GGGCCUGUAGCUCAGUUGGUUAGAGCAGAGGACUCAUAAUCCUUUGGUCCUGGGUUCGAGUCCCAGCGGGCCCACCA
rnacentral:tRNA from 4 species